ACAUAUUAUAACUUUACAUUAUUGUAAAUGAAAAUUAAGUAUUAAAAAUAAAAAAAAUCAAUAUUUUUCUAAGUCCCUAAUUUUUUUGGACUUAUAAAAAAAAUAGUUUGUAAGAUUUUCUAACAGCAUAUAUGCAAAGUAUUUUGAUUUAUUUGAAAAUAAUUGAAAAUAGAUUUUUCAAGGACGGUGUCGAGGUCACGGGGUCGGUGUCGUUUUUCGAAAUUUGUUAACUUAAUAUAAUAGAAGAUGUUUCGUUUUAAAUUAAGAAACGUUAAAAUUAUUAAGUUAAAAACAUUUGAUUUUAAUGACACUUAAAAUUAGACACAAUAUUAUAGGUUACUAACUAAAAAUUGAAAAAACAACAAUAAAUAAUAAAAAAUAAUAAUAAAAAAUUGAAAAAAUCAAAAAAUUCUUAAAAAAUUGCAAAAUAACCCUUUUUCGGGUUAAAAUUGAAAAAAGAUGUUACAUAAAAAUAGUUUGUAAGAUUUUCUAACAGCAUAUAUGCAAAGUAUUUUGAUUUAUUUGAAAAUAAUUGAAAAUAGAUUUUUCAAGGACGGUGUCGAGGUCACGGGGUCGGUGUCGUUUUUCGAAAUUUGUUAACUUAAUAUAAUAGAAGAUGUUUCGUUUUAAAUUAAGAAAUGUUAAAAUUAUUAAGUUAAAAACAUUUGAUUUUAAUGACACUUAAAAUUAGACACAAUAUUAUAGGUUACUAAUUAAAAAUUGAAAAAACAACAAUAAAUAAUAAAAAAUAAUAAUAAAAAAUUGAAAAAAUCAAAAAAUUCUUAAAAAAUUGCAAAAUAACCCUUUUUCGGGUUAAAAUUGAAAAAAAAUGUUACAUAAAAAUAGUUUGUAAGAUUUUCUAACAGCAUAUAUGCAAAGUAUUUUGAUUUAUUUGAAAAUAAUUGAAAAUAGAUUUUUCAAGGACGGUGUCGAGGUCACGGGGUCGGUGUCGUUUUUCGAAAUUUGUUAACUUAAUAUAAUAGAAGAUGUUUCGUUUUAAAUUAAGAAAUGUUAAAAUUAUUAAGUUAAAAACAUUUGAUUUUAAUGACACUUAAAAUUAGACACAAUAUUAUAGGUUACUAACUAAAAAUUGAAAAAACAACAAUAAAUAAUAAAAAAUAAUAAUAAAAAAUUGAAAAAAUCAAAAAAUUCUUAAAAAAUUGCAAAAUAACCCUUUUUCGGGUUAAAAUUGAAAAAAGAUGUUACAUAAAAAUAGUUUGUAAGAUUUUCUAACAGCAUAUAUGCAAAGUAUUUUGAUUUAUUUGAAAAUAAUUGAAAAUAGAUUUUUCAAGGACGGUGUCGAGGUCACGGGGUCGGUGUCGUUUUUCGAAAUUUGUUAACUUAAUAUAAUAGAAGAUGUUUCGUUUUAAAUUAAGAAACGUUAAAAUUAUUAAGUUAAAAACAUUUGAUUUUAAUGACACUUAAAAUUAGACACAAUAUUAUAGGUUACUAACUAAAAAUUGAAAAAACAACAAUAAAUAAUAAAAAAUAAUAAUAAAAAAUUAAAAAAAUCAAAAAAUUCUUAAAAAAUUGCAAAAUAACCCUUUUUCGGGUUAAAAUUGAAAAAAGAUGUUACAUAAAAAUAGUUUGUAAGAUUUUCUAACAGCAUAUAUGCAAAGUAUUUUGAUUUAUUUGAAAAUAAUUGAAAAUAGAUUUUUCAAGGACGGUGUCGAGGUCACGGGGUCGGUGUCGUUUUUCGAAAUUUGUUAACUUAAUAUAAUAGAAGAUGUUUCGAUUUAAAUUAAGAAAUGUUAAAAUUAUUAAGUUAAAAACAUUUGAUUUUAAUGACACUUAAAAUUAGACACAAUAUUAUAGGUAACUAACUAAAAAUUGAAAAAACAACAAUAAAUAAUAAAAAAUAAUAAUAAAAAAUUGAAAAAAUCAAAAAAUUCUAAAAAAAUUGCAAAAUAACCCUUUUUCGGGUUAAAAUUGAAAAAUAACCCUUUUUCGGGUUAAAAUUGAAAAAGAUGUUACAUAAAAAAAGUUUGUAAGAUUUUCUAACAGCAUAUAUGCAAAGUAUUUUGAUUUAUUUGAAAAUAAUUGAAAAUAGAUUUUUCAAGGACGGUGUCGAGGUCACGGGGUCGGUGUCGUUUUUCGAAAUUUGUUAACUUAAUAUAAUAGAAGAUGUUUCGUUUUAAAUUAAGAAAUGUUAAAAUUAUUAAGUUAAAAACAUUUGAUUUUAAUGACACUUAAAAUUAGACAAAAAUAUUAUAGGUUACUAAUUAAAAAUUGAAAAAACAACAAUAAAUAAUAAAAAAUAUUAAUAAAAAAUUGAAAAAAUCAAAAAAUUCUUAAAAAAUUGCAAAAUAACCCUUUUUCGGGUUAAAAUUGAAAAAAGAUGUUACAUAAAAAUAGUUUGUAAGAUUUUCUAACAGCAUAUAUGCAAAGUAUUUUGAUUUAUUUGAAAAUAAUUGAAAAUAGAUUUUUCAAGGACGGUGUCGAGGUCACGGGGUCGGUGUCGUUUUUCGAAAUUUGUUAACUUAAUAUAAUAGAAGAUGUUUCGUUUUAAAUUAAGAAAUGUUAAAAUUAUUAAGUUAAAAACAUUUGAUUUUAAUGACACUUAAAAUUAGACACAAUAUUAUAGGUUACUAACUAAAAAUUGAAAAAACAACAAUAAAUAAUAAAAAAUAAUAAUAAAAAAUUGAAAAAAUCAAAAAAUUCUUAAAAAAUUGCAAAAUAACCCUUGUUCGGGUUAAAAUUGAAAAAAGAUGUUACAUAAAAAUAGUUUGUAAGAUUUUCUAACAGCAUAUAUGCAAAGUAUUUUGAUUUAUUUGAAAAUAAUUGAAAAUAGAUUUUUCAAGGACGGUGUCGAGGUCACGGGGUCGGUGUCGUUUUUCGAAAUUUGUUAACUUAAUAUAAUAGAAGAUGUUUCGUUUUAAAUUAAGAAACGUUAAAAUUAUUAAGUUAAAAACAUUUGAUUUUAAUGACACUUAAAAUUAGACACAAUAUUAUAGGUUACUAACUAAAAAUUGAAAAAACAACAAUAAAUAAUAAAAAAUAAUAAUAAAAAAUUGAAAAAAUCAAAAAAUUCUUAAAAAAUUGCAAAAUAACCCUUUUUCGGGUUAAAAUUGAAAAAAGAUGUUACAUAAAAAUAGUUUGUAAGAUUUUCUAACAGCAUAUAUGCAAAGUAUUUUGAUUUAUUUGAAAAUAAUUGAAAAUAGAUUUUUCAAGGACGGUGUCGAGGUCACGGGGUCGGUGUCGUUUUUCGAAAUUUGUUAACUUAAUA